GACGAACGCUGGCGGCGUGCUUAACACAUGCAAGUCGAACGGAAAGGCCCUGCUUUUGUGGGGUGCUCGAGUGGCGAACGGGUGAGUAACACGUGAGUAACCUGCCCUUGACUUUGGGAUAACUUCAGGAAACUGGGGCUAAUACCGGAUAUGAGCUCCUGCUGCAUGGUGGGGGUUGGAAAGUUUCGGCGUUUGGGGAUGGACUCGCGGCUUAUCAGCUUGUUGGUGGGGUAGUGGCUUACCAAGGCUUUGACGGGUAGCCGGCCUGAGAGGGUGACCGGGCACAUUGGGACUGAGAUAGGGCCCAGACUCCUACGGGAGGCAGCAGUGGGGAAUAUUGCACAAUGGGCGGAAGCCUGAUGCAGCAACGCCGCGUGCGGGAUGACGGCCUUCGGGUUGUAAACCGAUUUCGCCUGUGACGAAGCGUGAGUGACGGUAAUGGGUAAAGAAGCACCGGCUAACUACGUG
rnacentral:rRNA from 1 species